AAUCAACGCUGGCGGCGUGCCUCAGACAUGCAAGUCGAACGCGAAAGUCCCCUUCGGGGGAUGAGUAGAGUGGCGCACGGGUGAGUAACACGUAGGUAAUCUACCUUCGGGUGGGGAAUAACAACCGGAAACGGUUGCUAAUACCGCAUAAUGCAGCGGCACCUAAUGGUGACAGUUGUUAAAGCGGGGGAUCGCAAGACCUCGCGCCUGAAGAGGAGCCUGCGGCGGAUUAGCUAGUUGGCAGGGUAACGGUCUACCAAGGCGACGAUCCGUAGCCGGCCUGAGAGGGCGGUCGGCCACACUGACACUGACAUACGGGUCAGACUCCUACGGGAGGCAGCAGUCGGGAAUUUUGGGCAAUGGGCGAAAGCCUGACCCAGCAACGCCGCGUGAAGGAUGAAAUCCCUCGGGAUGUAAACUUCGCAAGAACGGGGAGAAUAAGCCGGUGUCAACACCACCGGCGAUGACGGUACCGUUUGUAAGCUCCGGCUAACUCCGUGCCAGCAGCCGCGGUAAUAC
rnacentral:rRNA from 1 species